rnacentral:rRNA from 1 species
GAUGAACGCUGGCGGCGUGCCUAAUACAUGCAAGUCGAGCGAACGGACGAGAAGCUUGCUUCUCUGAUGUUAGCGGCGGACGGGUGAGUAACACGUGGAUAACCUACCUAUAAGACUGGGAUAACUUCGGGAAACCGGAGCUAAUACCGGAUAAUAUUUUGAACCGCAUGGUUCAAAAGUGAAAGACGGUCUUGCUGUCACUUAUAGAUGGAUCCGCGCUGCAUUAGCUAGUUGGUAAGGUAACGGCUUACCAAGGCAACGAUGCAUAGCCGACCUGAGAGGCUGAUCGGCCACACUGGAACUGAGACACCGUCCAGACUCCUACGGGAGGCAGCAGUAGGGAAUCUUCCGCAAUGGGCGAAAGCCUGACGGAGCAACGCCGCGUGAGUGAUGAAGGUCUUCGGAUCGUAAAACUCUGUUAUUAGGGAAGAACAUAUGUGUAAGUAACUGUGCACAUCUUGACGGUACCUAAUCAGAAAGCCCCGGCUAACUACGUG